rnacentral:rRNA from 1 species
GCCUAAAGCGUCCGUAGCCUGUUCUAUAAGUUUCCGGUUAAAUCCAUUAGCUCAACUAAUGGGCUGUCGAAAAUACUGUAGAACUAGGGAGUGGGAGAGGUAGACGGUAUUCGGUAGGAAGGGGUAAAAUCCUUUGAUCUAUUGAGGACCACCUGUGGCGAAGGCGGUCUACCAGAACACGUUCGACGGUGAGGGAUGAAAGCUGGGGGAGCAAACCGGAUUAGAUACCCGGGUAGUCCCAGCCGUAAACGAUGCAGACUCGGUGAUGCGCUGGCUUGUGGCCAGCGCAGUGCCGCAGGGAAGCCGUUAAGUUUGCCGCCUGGGAAGUACGUACGCAAGUAUGAAACUUAAAGGAAUUGGCGGGGGAGCACCACAAGGGGUGAAGCCUGCGGUUCAAUUGGAGUCAACGCCAGAAAUCUUACCCGAAGAGACAGCAGAAUGAAGGUCAAGCUGGAGACUUUACCAGACAAGCUGAGAAGUGGUGCAUGGCCGUCGCCAGCUCGUGCCGUGAGAUGCCCUGUUAAGUCAGGUAACGAGCGAGAUCCCUGCCUCUAGUUGCCACCAUUACUCUCAGGAGUAGUGGGGCGAAUUAGCGGGACCGCCGCAGUUAAUGCGGAGGAAGGAAGGGGCCACGGCAGGUCAGUAUGCCCCGAA